GAGUGAGGUAUCAUUCCAGUAUCUGUAGAGGUGAAGCAGACUGUGAAAGUAUUUGUUGUGACUCACGGCGACAAAAAGAGACUUUGGAAAGUUUUCAUGGAGCUGAACAUUACUAUUAUGAUUUAUAUAGUGCCAACAUUUGUUGCUGUUGUGACAGACCGCCUGGCACCCCAACCAGAUGCCUCCACCAAUCUAUGCUCCUAGUGCUCACCGAGGAC